UACGUAGGGUGCGAGCGUUGUCCGGAAUUAUUGGGCGUAAAGAGCUUGUAGGCGGUUUGUCGCGUCUGCCGUGAAAAUUCGAGGCUCAACCUCGAACUUGCGGUGGGUACGGGCAGACUAGAGUGUGGUAGGGGGAGACUGGAAUUCCGUGGUGUAGCGGUGAAAUGCGCAGAUAUCAGGAGGAACACCGAUGGCGAAGGCAGGUCUCUGGGCCACUACUGACGCUGAGAAGCGAAAGCAUGGGGAGCGAACAGG
rnacentral:rRNA from 1 species